CGCCUUUGGUAAAAUAUCAAAAGGUCCUGCCUGCCCGGUGAUUAUAAAAAUUAAACGGCUGCGGUACUCUGACCGUGCAAAGGUAGCAUAAUCAUUAGCCUGUUAAUUUCAGGCUGGAAUCAAUGGCAAGACGAAGAAAAAGCUGUCUCUUUCUAUUAUUUUAGAAUUUUUCUUUUUGGUGAAGAGACCAAAAUAAAUAAGUGGGACGAGAAGACCCUAUUGAGCUUUAGUUAGUUAAAAGAAAAAAGUUUUUUUAAAUAACUUUGGUUGGGGCAACUGUUUUUAGAAUUAAACAUUAAUAAAAUAAAAAUGAAUUAAAUCUUUAAUAUAUAAAACCCAGAAAUUUUUAUCUGCACUUAAAAAAAGUUACCUUAGGGAUAACAGCGUAAUUCUUUUUGAGAGUACAUAUUGACAAAAGAGUUUGCGACCUCGAUGUUGGAUCAAGAUUUCCUGGAGGUGUAGUGGUUUCCAAGGGUUGGUUUGUUCAACCAUGAAAAUCUU
rnacentral:rRNA from 1 species